AUCAGACACGCCUACGGGAGGCAGCAGUGGGGAAUAUUGCACAAUGGGCGCAAGCCUGAUGCAGCCAUGCCGCGUGUGUGAAGAAGGCCUUCGGGUUGUAAAGCACUUUCAGUCAGGGGAAGGUUAGUAGUUAAUACCUGCUAGCUGUGACGUUACUGACAGAAGAAGCACCGGCUAACUCCGUGCCAGCAGCCGCGGUAAUACGGAGGGUGCGAGCGUUAAUCGGAAUUACUGGGCGUAAAGCGUACGCAGGCGGUUUGUUAAGCGAGAUGUGAAAGCCCCGGGCUCAACCUGGGAACUGCAUUUCGAACUGGCAAACUAGAGUGUGAUAGAGGGUGGUAGAAUUUCAGGUGUAGCGGUGAAAUGCGUAGAGAUCUGAAGGAAUACCGAUGGCGAAGGCAGCCACCUGGGUCAACACUGACGCUCAUGUACGAAAGCUGGGGGAGCAAACAGGAUUAGAUACCCGCGUAGUCCA
rnacentral:rRNA from 1 species